rnacentral:rRNA from 1 species
CCUACGGGAGGCAGCAGUCGAGAAUCAUUCACAAUGGGGGAAACCCUGAUGGUGCGACGCCGCGUGGGGGAAUGAAGGUCUUCGGAUUGUAAACCCCUGUCAUGUGGGAGCAAAUUAAAAAGAUAGUACCACAAGAGGAAGCGACGGCUAACUCUGUGCCAGCAGCCGCGGUAAUACAGAGGUCUCAAGCGUUGUUCGGAAUCACUGGGCGUAAGGCGUGCGUAGGCUGUUUCGUAAGUCGUGUGUGAAAGGCGCGGGCUCAACCCGCGGACGGCACAUGAUACUGCGAGACUAGAGUAAUGGAGGGGGAACCGGAAUUCUCGGUGUAGCAGUGAAAUGCGUAGAUAUCGAGAGGAACACUCGUGGCGAAGGCGGGUUCCUGGACAUUAACUGACGCUGAGGCACGAAGGCCAGGGGAGCGAAAGGGAUUAGAUACCCGAGUAGUC